UGCCCGGGUGGCGGAACUGGUAGACGCAGCGGACUUAAAAUCCGCAGAUCCGCAAGGGUCGUGCCGGUUCGACUCCGGCCCUGGGCAG
rnacentral:tRNA from 1 species